rnacentral:rRNA from 1 species
UUCCGUAGGNGAACCUGCGGAGGAUCAUUAAUAGUGCCCUCUGAUGCAAAUCAUUGGGUAGAUCUGCUCUCUUCGCAAGAAGAGGGUUCCAUACACACCGUGAACUGUGGCUUCGGCCAUCACAAACUGUUAGUAAUGAAUGUAAUAUCAUAAACAAAACAAAACUUUUAACAACGGAUCUCUUGGCUCUCGCAUCGAUGAAGAAACGCAGCGAAAUGCGAUAAGUAAUGUGAAUUGCAGAAUUCAGUGAAUCAUCGAAUCUUUGAACGCACCUUGCGCCCUUUGGUAUUCCGAAGGGCAUGCCUGUUUGAGUGUCAUGAAACCUCACCCCACUUUGGGUUUUUGCCUGAGCGGUGGUGUAUUGGGUGUUGCCUUGCUAAAGGCUCGCCUUAAAGACAUAAGCACCUUGGAUGUAAUACGUUUCAAUCCUUCUGGGUGGCUGAUAACCCCACAUAUUCAUGAUCUGGCCUCAAAUCAGGAGGGUACCCGUACCCGCUGAACUUAAGCAUUAUCAAUAUUAAGCGGGANGAAA